UCGGAAACAUCUGCCUCCCCCAGCUCGACCAUGCUUCCCCCACCCAGUGAGGCUGAGCUGCGGCUUUCAGUCUGAGCCCCUGCGGCCCGCAGAGGCUGCUGCUGGGCUGGGCCCGGGCGGCACUAGGCUCGCACCUCGGCCCGUCCCCCACAGGAGGGGCCUCGGUUUUCUUCUCUGCACGUUUGCGUUUGGGGGAGCCUCCUGCCUCCACUCACUGCCACGGAGGGACUGGGCCAGGCCCUUGAUUCAUUUGGACCGGUCCAAAGUCUGCACUCCUACUUUGGCCCCUUGCCUCUCAGACCUUCUGAGAGCUGACCCCUUGGGAGAUGAAAGUCUAGGCUCUGCCAGCAGCCUUCAAAAUCAGUCCGAGGCCAGGCAAACUUUGCAGCACUCGUUUGCAGAGCUGGGGAUCCCUCCACAGAUGUGGGAAACAAGGAAAUCCAGAGAAGCAAAAUCGGGACAAUUUAGGAAGAGAGCUGGUGUUAAAGCUGAGGGCCCAUUCUCCACACAGAAGCAAGAUGGUCCUGCGAGACCAGAGUGGGGUCUUUUAGAAGAGGCUGACAUAUAAAGAAAAUUGGCUGCCUAACCGCUAGAAUAGUCAAGAUGUCCUUGUGUAUAUAGGAGCGGUUGCUGUUUGUGAAAGCAAAACAUAACAACAAUAUCCAGAUACAAAACAAGAUGGAUUCUGCACGUCCAGUUGUCUUGUUUAAGAUGCAAACAGUAGGAGAUUGUCAUUUUCACCAUUGAAAUGUGAAGCACUGUUUCGAACCUUUGUGGGGGACUUACCAUGGGUGGGAGCUAUUGCAAUCUAUUUUAUUACUCAUUUAACCCUUAGCUCGCCAUCUGCAUCACCCUACUAUGCCCACUUAACAACACUGCAAUGGAGACAUAGAGUGAUUUGCAUGAGAUCAAAGGGGAAGUCAGGGAAUAGCAGAUGUUGGAUUUUGAAUUCCUGAAACACAGUGGCCCCAGAACCCUGCAUUUCAACCCCUUUCAUUCCACCUUCUAACACUCUUUGGCAGUUGGGUGAGUCAGAUCCUGGCCCGUCCGUCUACCCAUGCUCAAGGUUCUCUCUGACUAUUUAAAGCUACAUUAAAAAAAAAAAAAAAAACUCCCUGAAGGAGGUAGUCAAAAUAAAUAGAAUUUCUGAGAUUCAGGUGGCUUGGAUGUUAAUCAUUAACUUAGUGGUAAAGCUUUAACGGCAGCCUUUACAGCAAUGUACUCACCAGGUUUUACAUUCAAUUCAACAGUAAAAAUUUAAGUAUCUAAUCUAAGUCAGACUCCAGACACAAGCCAAGGCCCUCAGUUUUCACAUUUGGUUUGCCUUUUGUUACAAAGAUUUUGGGGUGGGGGAUAGGUUCGUUUUUUCCCCCCCAAAAGGUGGGUUCUUUUUUUUCUGAGAGGUGGUUUCAUUUCUCUCUCAGGGAGGUAACUCAGAGACCAGCUGGGCCUCUCGCCUGGCAGAAGUGUGGGGCACACUUCUGAGAGCAGGGCCUCCAACUCACAAGGUCACUUCUGCCACAGGGUGGGUCUUCUUAGCCAUUCUCCUUCAAGUCUACCUGUGUCACACCAUGCUGCAGCCUGGUGCUGGUUCCUUUUGUUUCUUUUUCUUUUCUUUUGCUUUUGUGUGUUUGUUUGUUUUUCAAGACAGGGCUUCUCUGCCUAGCCCUGGCUGUCCUGGAACUCACUAUGUAGACCAGGCUGGCCUAGAACUCAGAGAUCUGUCCCCUCUGCCUUCCAAGUGCUGGGAUUAAAGGCCUGAGCCACCACCAAUACCCCCCUCCAGGAGUCAAGGUCUUCUCUCCUUUUUCCAAGGGGCCGUGGGAUUGAGUGCUUUUCUGAGGACCACCAGAAGAAUUGUGACAGGAUACACCUGGGGUUGGGCUUGGCUUUCGUAUUUUCUGGGAAUACUCCAGCUCUACUUUUUCCCCACAAUGCAGCUUUGUAAUUUAUUAUUGUAAUGGACUAGGAAUUCAGAGCAUUGAAAAGAAAGAAAGACACCAGGUGGUCUUGCCUUAGAUCCUUCCUUGCCCCUUUGUUUCUGUAAGAGAACAGAGCUGAAGAAAGAUGUGGAGCCCAGGUUAGCCAAAGUCACACACAAUUAAUGAAGGAAG
rnacentral:lncRNA from 1 species